UGAACUCUGAACUCCAAUUGCAAUGUAAUUUUCCGUUAGCGAAAGUGAGGUUACGAAAUUGACAUGACAUUAUUGUUGGAAAAAAAAAAACGUGAAUGCAAUGGACAUGUGUUUUGUUGUGUUUCUCAUCAAGAUAAUAGAAGAAUUUAGUGCUCAUACUCAUGAUCUAAUGAGCAAACAGCCCAUGCAAAGGAUGUCUUAUCGGGCUAUGCCUCAAUUGAUAAAGUGAACUAAUUGCCUUCUCCAAAAGCAGUUUUGCAUGAAAGUCAACAUCUAAUUGGAAUUUACAAUGCCCGAUAUUUCUACACAUCUGCCACAAAUUUUAUGGAAAACAAUAUUUAUAGAAACUGAACAUACCUUGGUUAAACGUAUAUGAAAUGGGUAACCAUCCUUGAAGAACAUCAACCAGCUGUCGGCAAUGUGCAGGUGGACUGAGGAAUUUUCCGGUGUGUCCUUUAUGGACUGUACUCCGUCUUAGCACUAUCCUCAAGUUUUACCCGAAAGGCCAUGCUUCAGGUUGGACCGUCUUCCAUAUAUCUACUGACUUCAUAUAAAUGAAAGUCUCGCUGAUCUGCACUACCAGCUCGUUCAACGUUACUGAACAACAAAGUAAUCCGACAAUCAGACUGGACCCGGUCACGUUAGGUACCAAAGGAAAACGAAAAUAUCAUUGGUUCUAUACUGAUGCAUGACUUCGCUCGGAACGCGGCAAGAAUUAACAAUGGAAGAAAAUACUACAGACGUGUUUAUUAACAAUAAAGUUAUUUUUGUUUUUAUGAAAUAGCGAUUGAAUAAAAAUAUUA